CGAUUUCAUCUCUGUUAUCUUCGGCUGCCAGCGAGCGGGGAUCGCUGUAAUCCCACUCGUGCCACCGUCGGCUUCUUCUAACAAAACCAAGAGCGGUAAGGAUAUCAUGGAAGUCAUUCUAGAGGCCUCACCAGUGGCAUUUAUUUCUCCGAAAUCGUUGAGCGCGCAACUUGAUGGAUCGUCCGCAAAAGCCAUCGCCGAGUACUUCAACCUGCGCUGGAUAGCACUGGAGCCAGACAAGAUCCACAGUGUCAGUUUGGAGUCAGUCGACGAUGAUUCUUACGUGAGGCUUUCCAGAGCGGAGGAUUUGUUCCUGAUCCAGUAUACUUCCGGAUCGACUGGCGCUCCAAAACCGGUGAUGAUCUCCGCUGGAGCGGCAGCGCACAACGCUCGAGCGGCUAGAAGAGCUUACGA
rnacentral:lncRNA from 1 species